rnacentral:tRNA from 2 species
GCCGAUGUGGUGGAAUGGCAGACACAGUAGACUCAAAAUCUACCGCAGCAAUGUGUGCGGGUUCAAGUCCCGCCAUCGGCACCA